rnacentral:lncRNA from 1 species
UGUGUACUUUAGUAUACAUCAAAAGAUAAAAGCCCCUUGAUAUCUAAAAUGCGGUGACACAUCUGAUAAAAAUUAUUUACUUUUUAGAUAAAAAUUGAAACAUAUAUUACAGGUAGAAAACAAUGUGCUGAACUAAAUUAUUUUCAUAGAUUAGAUAAAUGAUGACAGAUUAUCGAUAACAACAAUACCUACUUUUUCAUUCUAUUAGUCUUUUGUGUAUUGGUUUAGUGUACUUUAGCUUGUAAUUGAAAAUGCAGGAUGAAAAUCUAUACAGUAACAUGGAAAAUAUUGAAUUAGACCAUUUUUCCAGACAACAAAGUAAUUUGACAGUUUAUUCCCGAAACGGAGAAGAAAGUGCCAUAACUCAACAACCCACAAACAAUGACGGUGAGUAACAUUUUAAUCAUUAGAUUAAU